CAGAGGCUGAGGCACUUGUGGGUUGCCGCACCGCUGCGGACGAACACCGGCAGGCGCGGAAGCUGGCAGAGAAGCAGCGUGAUGCUGCACUUCAAGAGACCGCUGCUGCCGCUACCAAG
rnacentral:SRP_RNA from 14 species